UACGUAGGUGGCAAGCGUUGUCCGGAAUUAUUGGGCGUAAAGCGCGCGCAGGUGGUUUCUUAAGUCUGAUGUGAAAGCCCACGGCUCAACCGUGGAGGGUCAUUGGAAACUGGGGAACUGAGUGCAGGAGAGAAGAGUGGAAUUCCACGUGUAGCGGUGAAAUGCGUAGAGAUGUGGAGGACACCAGUGGCGAAGGCGACUACCUGGCCUGUUCUUGACGCUGAGGCGCGAAAGCUAGGGGAGCAAACGGG
rnacentral:rRNA from 1 species